GACGGAGGGUGCAAGCGUUGUUCGGAAUCACUGGGCGUAAAGCGCACGUAGGCGGAUUGCUAAGUCAGGGGUGAAAUCCUGGAGCUCAACUCCAGAACUGCCUUUAAUACUGCCAGUCUCGAGUCCGGAAGAGGUAAGUGGAACUCCUAGUGUAGAGGUGGAAUUCGUAGAUAUUAGGAAGAACACCAGUGGCGAAGGCGGCUUACUGGUCCGGUACUGACGCUGAGGUGCGAAAGCGUGGGGAGCAAACAGG
rnacentral:rRNA from 1 species